GUGCCAGCAGCCGCGGUAAUACCCGCGGCCCGAGUGGUGGUCGAUAUUAUUGAGCCUAAAACGUUCGUAGCCGGUCUUGUAAAUCCUUGGGUAAAUCGGCCAGCUUAACUGUCCGAAGUCCGGGGAGACUGCAAGACUUGGGAUCGGGAGAGGUCAGAGGUACUUCUAGGGUAGGGGUAAAAUCCUGUAAUCCUAGAAGGACCACCGGUGGCGAAGGCGUCUGACUAGAACGAAUUCGACGGUGAGGAACGAAGCCCUGGGGCGCAAACGGGAUUAGAUACCCCCGUAGUCC
rnacentral:rRNA from 1 species